rnacentral:rRNA from 1 species
AACGAACGCUGGCGGCAUGCCUAACACAUGCAAGUCGAGCGCUCCCAGCAAUGGGGGAGCGGCGGACGGGUGAGUAACGCGUAGGAACGUAUCCUGAGGUGGGGGAUAACCCUGGGAAACUAGGGCUAAUACCGCAUGAUGGCGAGAGCCCAAAGAUUUAUCGCCUUGGGAGCGGCCUGCGUCUGAUUAGCUUGUUGGUGGGGUAACGGCCUACCAAGGCGAUGAUCAGUAGCUGGUCUGAGAGGAUGAUCAGCCACACUGGGACUGAGACACGGCCCAGACUCCUACGGGAGGCAGCAGUAGGGAAUAUUGGACAAUGGGGGCAACCCUGAUCCAGCCAUGCCGCGUGAGUGAAGAAGGCCCUCGGGUUGUAAAGCUCUUUUGUCCGGAAAGAAAAGCAAUCGGUUAAUACCCGGUUGUCCUGACGGUACCGGAAGAAUAAGCACCGGCUAACUUCGUG